UACGUAGGUGGCAAGCGUUUGUCCGGAAUUAUUGGGCGUAAAGCGCGCGCAGGCGGUCCUUUAAGUCUGAUGUGAAAGCCCACGGCUCAACCGUGGAGGGUCAUUGGAAACUGGGGGGACUUGAGUGCAGGAGAGAAAAGUGGAAUUCCACGUGUAGCGGUGAAAUGCGUAGAGAUGUGGAGGAACACCAGUGGCGAAGGCGACUUUUUGGCCUGUAACUGACGCUGAGGCGCGAAAGCG
rnacentral:rRNA from 1 species